rnacentral:tRNA from 1 species
AGGUUGUUAGUUUAAUUAAAAACCCUUGAUUUCGACUCAAGAACUUAUGGUUAAAGUCCAUAACCACCUA